rnacentral:sRNA from 1 species
CUAUUAUUGUACCGUAAAUCUUGGAAACGCUGGAACUAAUUACGGAGAGGAUAUGUCUCAAUUUGUUCCGCAUUAGUGCCGCGCCGGGACGCAGGCACCGAGCACGGGAAAUUGAUGGGCCCGGCCCGGGACGGCGGCCCUGACCCCGCGUUCAACCCGGGGGCGGCCCCGCUCCGCCUCUCCCGCAC